GACGGAGGAUGCAAGCGUUAUCCGGAAUGAUUGGGCGUAAAGCGUCCGCAGGUGGCAGUUCAAGUCUGCUGUCAAAGACCGGGGCUUAACUUCGGAAAGGCAGUGGAAACUGAACAGCUAGAGUAUGGUAGGGGCAGAGGGAAUUCCUGGUGUAGCGGUGAAAUGCGUAGAGAUCAAGAGGAACACCUGAGGUGAAGACGGGUUGCUGGGCUGACACGUGACGCUGAGGCGCGAAAGUGUGGGGAGGCGAACAGG
rnacentral:rRNA from 1 species